ensembl:lncRNA
CGCGACCUGGCCUUGGAUAAAGCGGAUGAAGAUGGAUGGAUGGAUGGAUGGAUGUUCUGUUAACGAUUCAAACAGUUAUAAUUGUACAUGGCUUAGAAGUUAAGAGUAAAUACUGCUUUCUUAAUUAUGAUUUUUGAGUAAAUGUUUUUUUUUCCGAGCUCCGCAUGUGUACGUCAACUACGUCAUGACGUUUUCUCUCUAACCUGAACGACGUUGACAGAAAAUUCUAUUCAAUAUGGCUGCCCUUCUCGAGCGACUGGAGAGCACAUUUGGAGAAACUUGCUGAAGACCGAAGAGAAAAAGACCGAAGAAGAAAAAAAAUUCAGACUGCAAGUAAUUUCAGGUGGAGACAGUAAACACAGAUCUACCAAGGGUCAGUGGCACAGUUCACCUUUUAUGGAGGCGCCUGAUAUCAACGUGAAACGCACUGCAGUACUUUGUGCCCUUCCUGUAUACCUGUGGGAGGAGGACCCAGAAUUCU